UCAAGCUAAUAAGAGCGCAGGGUGGAUGCCUUGGCACUAAGAGCCGAUGAAAGACGUGAUAAGCUGCGAAAAGCUUCGGGGAGGAGCAAAUAUCCUUUGAUCCGGAGAUAUCUGAAUGGGGAAACCCGGCUGAGAAGACCUCAGUCACUGUAUGGUAAAUCCAUAGCCAUACAGAGGGAACCCGGUGAACUGAAACAUCUAAGUAGCCGGAGGAAGAGAAAGAAACAUCGAUUCCGGAAGUAGCGGCGAGCGAACCCGGAAGAGCCCAAACCAGCGUGCGUGCAUGCUGGGGUUAAGGACUGCAUAAGUGAGCCGAUCUGUUAAUGGAACUGCCUGGGAAGGCAGGCCAGAGAGGGUGAAAGCCCCGUACAUGAAAACGGUAGGCAGCGGCAGGAUCCAGAGUACCGCGAGACACGAGAAACCUUGCGGGAAGUCGGAGGGACCACCCUCCAAGGCUAAAUACUCCUUAGUGACCGAUAGCGCAUAGUACUGUGAAGGAAAGGUGAAAAGGACCCCGGGAGGGGAGUGAAAGAGAACCUGAAACCCUGUGUUUACAAGCUGUCGGAGCACUAUAUAUGUGCGACGGCGUACUUUUUGUAGAACGGUCCGGCGAGUUAUGGCAUGUGGUAAGGUUAAGUACUUCAGGUACGGAGCCGAAGCGAAAGCGAGUGUGAAAAGCACGUUCUAAUCGCCUGUCAUAUACCCGAAACCGGGUGAUCUAUCCAUGUCCAGGAUGAAGUUGCCGUAAAAGGCAAUGGAGGUCCGAACACACAUCCGUUGAAAAGGGUGGUGAUGAGGUGUGGAUAGGGGAGAAAUUCCAAUCGAACCCGGAGAUAGCUGGUUCUCCUCGAAAUAGCUUUAGGGCUAGCCUCGUUUUAGUCUUAUGGAGGUAGAGCACUGAAUUUCCGCGGGGGCGUCAAAGCUUACCAAAGAAUAUCAAACUCCGAAUGCCAUGUAGAUGAUGAACGGGAGUCAGACUGCACGAGAUAAGUUGGGCGGUCAAAAGGGAAAGAGCCCAGACCACCGGCUAAGGUCCCAAAGUGUGUGUUAAGUGGAAAAGGAUGUGGGAAUUCGAAGACAACUAGGAUGUUGGCUCAGAAGCAGCCAUACAUUCAAAGAGUGCGUAACAGCUCACUAGUCGAGAGUCCCUGCGCCGAAAAUGUCCGGGGCUGAAACACAACACCGAAGCCGUGGACUCCGUAAGGAGUGGUAGAGGAGCAUUCUUAAAACCGACGAAGCUGUACCGGUAAGGAGCAGUGGAGGGAUAAGAAGAGAGAAUGCCGGAAUGAGUAGCGAGAGGAAGGUGGGAAUCCUUCCGGCCGAAUAUCUAAGGUUUCCAGAGUAAAGCUGAUCUGCUCUGGGUAAGUCGGGGCCUAAGGAGAGGUCGCAAGACGUAUCCGAUGGACAACAGGUUUAGAUUCCUGUACCGCAUAUAAACAGAACUGUGGGGACGCAUGUGGAAAGCAUAAGCCGGGAAUGGAAAGACCGGUACAAGCGGGGUAGGUGUGUGACAGGCAAAUCCGUCAUAUAAGCCGAAGACGUGAUGUGGAACGAAAUUUAGUAGUGAAGUAUGUGAGCCAUGUGCCGAGAAAAGCCGCUAUUGUUUUAUAUGUGCCCGUACCGUAAACCGACACAGGUGGAUGAGGAGAGAAUCCUAAGGCCGACGGAAGAAGCAUUGUUAAGGAAUUCGGCAAAAUGACCCCGUAACUUCGGGAGAAGGGGUGCCCACUGAAUGGUGGGCCGCAGAGAAUAGGCUCAAGCAACUGUUUAGCAAAAACACAGGUCUAUGCGAAACCGAAAGGUGAAGUAUAUGGGCUGACGCCUGCCCGGUGCUGGAAGGUUAAGAGGAGAGGUUAGCGCAAGCGAAGCUUUGAAUUUAAGCCCCAGUAAACGGCGGCCGUAACUAUAACGGUCCUAAGGUAGCGAAAUUCCUUGUCGGGUAAGUUCCGACCC
rnacentral:rRNA from 1 species